GCCAGGCAAGGCGCGGUCUUAGUUUGGAGUUUGCUCCGCGGUGUCCUCCCAAGGCCACCCACCACUGCUUUGGGAGGAGGGACCCAAGGCUCCGCAGGCUCUCACCUGCUACUGAAGGGGAUCUUGCCAGGGUCCAGCUUAUGAGGUCCAGUAUUGGGGUCAAAUCCUGAACCUUGACUCCCAGGGGCGCACCCAAAGACCACCACCCGCUGUCGGUGCAGCCGAGAGACUAGGCUGUGCCCACCCGCAAGGCGAGCGCUGGGCGCCACGCAGAGACACCGCGCCGCGUCCCAGCCACCGGGACAUCGCACGGCUGGAUCUGCGGCCAGACAACCCGCGGCCCUCCAGCUGGUCUCCCGCAAGGGAACCAAGUGUUUCCGCAAGACAACUUCCCAGAGCUUCCAGGCCCACCCGUCCAGGCCCCAGAUCCCGGGGCCCUGCGUGCCCCUCUCACCGGCCGCCUGGGGCCGAGCGCGGGACACACCCUGGGCCGGACCCGUGCUCAGACGGAACCUGAGUGCGUGGGACUUGAGGCAGCCGGAAGGAUUAAUGGCAAACCCUUGCGUUGCCCCAUUGCUCCAGC